CAUCUUAUCUUUAAAAGCAGCCUUGGUGCCCCAAGUCUCGGACCAAACGUAAUCUUCGAGUGGUUUUCUUAAAUUUCUCCUGAUGGAUAAUAACGGGCAAUACCGCCAUCUCUUGGAAGUGCUUCUCCUAGCCGGCGGCUUCCGCCACGUGUUGGGCCUCCGGAGUGCGCCGAAGUCUGGCCGCGGAGGGGGAGGGGCAGCGGCAUUUCAACCUUAAUGAUAGAAAGUAUGAAAAGCGGAACAGAAUGGAAAAGCCAUGGAUCCAGGGAAUGUUCCCUCAGGGAAGUGAAGCAAGUUGUCAUUGUAAUAGAAUAGUAAUAAACUGUUUUCAAGGCUUUUUUGGCAAGAGGAGAUGAAACAGGCCAGACUGAGCAGGUGGGCCUAAAUGAAAUGAGGCCCAUAUGACCUUUGUUUAGGUUGGAUUCCUUCCUGUUUGUCCACCAUCUACCAAAUCCAUGUUUAAUGGCCUCAGUUAUGGGCUAUUAAAUUCCAGACUUGAGGUUAUCGAGGAGUGUAGAAACUUGGAACUGGAACAAUCUGUACCACUGAGUAACUCAAAGUGAACGAACCUUUUUAGAAGGAUGGGCCUAUGAGAAAUGUGAAAAGACUGGAAGAGAAAGAAUCCAGACCACAAGCACUGAUUUCCCAGUAAAUUUUGAAAUGUCAAAAGCAUGUUUUCUUCUACAACUUGAUUUCCUUUUUCAAAUUUAAAAUGUCUAUAACAAAGCCCCUACUGAUUGGAGGUGCUGAUCACCCAUUUUGGCCCUCCUUUCUGUUGGAGGGCCUAAUAAACUUCUUUCUAAAACAA